rnacentral:rRNA from 1 species
AGUGAACGCUGGCGGUAGGCCUAACACAUGCAAGUCGAACGGCAGCACAGUAAGAGCUUGCUCUUACGGGUGGCGAGUGGCGGACGGGUGAGGAAUACAUCGGAAUCUACUUUUUCGUGGGGGAUAACGUAGGGAAACUUACGCUAAUACCGCAUACGACCUACGGGUGAAAGCAGGGGAUCUUCGGACCUUGCGCGAUUGAAUGAGCCGAUGUCGGAUUAGCUAGUUGGCGGGGUAAAGGCCCACCAAGGCGACGAUCCGUAGCUGGUCUGAGAGGAUGAUCGGCAACACUGGAACUGAGACACGGUCCAGACUCCUACGGGAGGCAGCAGUGGGGAAUAUUGGACAAUGGGCGCAAGCCUGAUCCAGCCAUACCGCGUGGGUGAAGAAGGCCUUCGGGUUGUAAAGCCCUUUUGUUGGGAAAGAAAAGCAGCAGGUUAAACCCCGCUGUUCUGACGGUACCCAAAGAAUAAGCACCGGCUAACUUCGUG